rnacentral:misc_RNA from 1 species
UAUCAUUUAUACCAAGCACAUAAUCUUUGCCAACACAUCUACCCUUAGCUGAGGGGAUUACUGCUCAUCCUUUCCAGAGUAAUAGUACCGAAAUACACCAGAGAAAUCCUUUGCCUCAUGACCGUUAUUGCAGAGCUCUGUGAAGAUCUUUUCCGCUUGUGAUGUCAAGGGACACUUGAAUCCAAUAUCUUUUGCUGAUGCUGCAGCAAGGUUCAAAUCUUUAGCCAUCAACUUAGACGCAAAACCUCCAGUAUAAUUCCUUGAAGAAGGCACUCCAUCCAUCACCCCAGGCACUGGAUUAUAUGCAUCACUACUCCAACAGCGAGCACUUGAAGAAUUGAAUAUUUUUGUUAGAGUACUAGCUUCAAUUCCCAAAGACUGACCAAGAGCAAAGGCCUCAGACACCCCCAGCAUACUAAUAGCCAUUGCCAAAUUGUUGCAGAUCUUUGCAGUUGCACCAUUCCCUGAUCCACCACAGUAGAUAGUGUUUUUGCCCAUCGAUAGGAACAAGGGUUUGGAAGCUAAGUAAGCCUCCUCUGGACCACCAACCAUGAAAGUAAGAGUCCCAUCCUCUGCAGCAAGAACACCGCCAGAUACAGGAGCAUCCAACAUAGCAGGAGCCUUCCAG